rnacentral:misc_RNA from 1 species
AAACAUUGAGAAUUUCCCCGUUCUCAGUCAAGUCCAGCCUGGUUAUCUCCGUAAGCUUUUGCCUGAAACCGCACCUGCUCAUUCUGAGACAUUGCAAGACGUUCUUGAAGAUGUUGAAACAAAAAUAUUACCAGGGGUGACCCACUGGCAGAGCCCAGAUUACUUUGCAUAUUUUCCUUCAAAUAGUAGUGUGGCUGGAUUUCUGGGGGAAAUGCUCAGUGCCGGGAUUAACAUGGUGGGCUUUAGUUGGAUAACUUCUCCAGCAGCGACAGAACUUGAAAUGAUCGUUCUGGAUUGGCUUGCUAAAGUACUUAAGUUGCCUGAUGAAUUCCUUUCAACAGGUCAAGGAGGUGGAGUGAUACAGGGAACAGCAAGUGAAGCUGUUCUAGUUG